rnacentral:lncRNA from 1 species
AGGCAUUCAGGCAGCGAGAGCAGAGCAGCGUAGAGCAGCACAGCUGAGCUCGUGAGGCAGGAGACUCAGCCCGAGGAAAUCGCAGAUAAGUUUUUAAUUAAAAAGAUUGAGCAGUAAAAAGAAUUAGAACUCUAAACUUAAGCUAAUAGAGUAGCUUAUCGAAAUAUUACUUAGUCUUAAUAAUCUAAGAAGAUCUUAAGAGAUAACAUGAAGGCUUAUUUAAACAGUUUGAAAAAGGAAAUGAGGAGAAAAGUAUUUGUACUGUAUAAUGGAGGCGGAUUUCUGAGUUCGAGGCCAGCCUGGUCUACAGAGUGAGUUCCAGGACAGCCAGGGCUACACAGAGAAACCCUGUCUUGAAAAAACAAAAAGGUUAGGCUAGUAUUUGGAGAAAGAAGAUUAGAAAAUGGAAGUGAAAGACGAAGAAGACAUACAGGAAGGUGAAGAAAAAGCUGUUAGAGAAGAUAGGAAAAUAGAAGACAAAGCAUCUUUAGAAGACAGAAAAGGUACUUAAAGGCACAGGUAGUAGGAAGCCGAAGAAUAGAAGAUAGAAAGAAGCAA